rnacentral:lncRNA from 1 species
CAAAAUUCCUGAGACUGGGGGGUAUGUUCAGACCACAGCACUCCUCAAAUCCAAGCAGGAUGUAGCAGAAGACAGAGGAGAAAGACUGGACAGAGCGUCUGUGUCCUGAGCCCGCAGGGGAGCUGCGGGCACCCUCAGGAAGUCCCACAAGGAGCUGUGGGCCAGCCACCAUCAGGUGACAGGUGGCAGGAAAGGGGGCUCUAGCCCUGGAGCCCAAGGGCCUGCAUGUGAGGAAGACGCUGUCCAAUUGCCCCUCAAAACCAGGAUCUGUGGAAACAGAAAAAAACAUGACAGCAAGGCCUCACAUCCCACAAGGACUCUAGUUCCAGGGGUUAUGGAGCCUGCAUGCCCGGCUUGGGGUUCCAAGGACCUGGCUGUCAUUGCGCUGCUGGGUGAUGUCAGACACGUGCUGUGCGCUGUCUCUUGCCACCUUCCCUGCAAAGCCAUGAAGAAGCGGCGGGCAGAGCGGGCACCCCGCAGUGCCAGGCCCCUCCCCUUUCCUGGGAGCCUGCACUUUCAGGUCUCCCUUCACCGUGAACCGCGAGGCCCCUGGGAGGGCUAAGCGUUUCUGAAAGCAGGUGCUGCAUCUUCACGAGGGGCUCAAGUGUGGCCCCCAGUCUAGCAGCACCAAGGUCACCUUGAACUCAUCAGAAGUGCCAAGUCUAGGGCUCUACCCCAGAACUGCUGAAUCUCAAUCGACACUAAGCAACACCUUCCCCCAGGUGGCCAUCUCAGGGCUGCUGACAUGUGCAUACAUGCGUAUAUACAUGGAUCCACGCAUGUGUGUGAAUCAACUGGGACCCUGGACAGCUGUUAGAAAACGUGGGUUCUCGUCUUGGUUAUAACAUGGAUUUUCUGGCUGAGUUCGUCCGUUGGCAGUGCUGUAAAGGAAUACCUGAGACCGGGUCAUUUAUAAAGAAAAGAGCUUUAUUUGCUUCAUGGUUUAUUUGGUUCAGGCUGUACAAGAAGCAUAGCAUUGGCAUCUGCCUCUGGUGAGGGCCUCAGGAAGCUCCCAAUCAUGGUGCAAGAUGAAGGGCAGUCAGUGUACCCCACGGCAAGUGGGAGCAAGACAGACGGGGAGGUCCCUGACUCAUUUUAACAACCGGAUCACGUGUGAACUCAGAAUGAGAACUCACUCAUUACUGUGAGGAAGGCACCAAACCACUCAUGAGGGAUCCACCCCCAUGACCAAAACACCUUCCACCAGGCCCCACCUCCAACACUGGGGAUCACAUUUCAGCAUGAGAUUUGGAGAGGACACACAUUCAAACCAUAUCAUUCCACCCCUGACCCCCCAAAUCUCAUGUUUUUCGCACAUUGCAAAAUACAACCAUCCCUUCUCCCUGGUCCUCUGAAGUCGUGACUUUUUCUAGCAUUAACUUAAAAGUCCC